CCCCCCCCCGUCGCCAAAUAAAUUUCGGUCAGUGUACCAUUUUAGGGGUCCAAAAUUUUUCGGACCAUCGAACAAAUUUUCCAAACAUCACAAAAUUGACAUAAUUUCCCACAAAAUUGACAGAAUUUGUCCCAUUUAUUUUUAUAAUAACCCAAUAUUGCCCGACUGUGAAGCGAAUAUUGCCCAACUGGCUUUGUUUGCCCAACAAACUGGGGUUAUUAUUAAGAGAGAUUUGAUUUCUUUUACUACUUUUUUUGCAUUUUAAUUUCCCACUCUUCGCCCGACUUACGUUGAACAUUUGCCCGACUUUGUAAUCUUUUUUUUUUUGGGGGGGGGGGCAGCUGCCUCCCUGCCCCCCCCCCCCCGUCCCGUACGCCUAUGAUUCCAGCUGUAUACUAAAUUUUGAUCUAGGCAAGAAGAAAGAAAUCGAUCACCACAGCUAGAAAGAGCAUGUUAAAAUUAGUAAAAUUACAAAGUUUGGUUGCAAAUUUUGUAUUAAUUUGUAUUACACAAGGGAAAAUGCACCACAUUUGGGCCGAAAGUGGUGCAUUUUACCGUGCGUAAUACAAACUUUUUUGAUUUACGGCCAUAUUUUCCCCAUUUUACAAGAUUUCGCAACCAAACUUCGCAAUUUUACUAAUUUUAAGAUGCUCUUUCUAGCUAUGGUGAUGGAUUUCGAUUCUCUUGCUUAGAUCGAAAUUAAGUCUAUGGCUGGAA